rnacentral:rRNA from 1 species
CAGUCGCCGCGGUAACACGUAGGUGGCAAGCGUUGUCCGGAAUUAUUGGGCGUAAAGGGCUCGCAGGCGGUUUCUUAAGUCUGAUGUGAAAGCCCCCGGCUCAACCGGGGAGGGUCAUUGGAAACUGGGAAACUUGAGUGCAGAAGAGGAGAGUGGAAUUCCACGUGUAGCGGUGAAAUGCGUAGAGAUGUGGAGGAACACCGAUGGCGAAAGCGGCUCUCUGGUCUGUCACUGACGCUGAGGCUCGAAAGCGUGGGUAGCGAACAGGAUUAGAUACCCCUGUAGUCCCUGUCUCUUAUAC